GUCCUUGUAGCGCAAUGGAUAGCGCGUUGGACUUCUAUUUCAAUGGUCGUAAGUUCAAAUCCUACCUGGGAUG
rnacentral:tRNA from 1 species